CCUACGGGAGGCAGCAGUAGGGAAUAUUGCUCAAUGGGGGAAACCCUGAAGCAGCAACGCCGCGUGGAGGAUGAAGGUCUUCGGAUUGUAAACUCCUUUUGUUAGAGAAGAUAAUGACGGUAUCUAACGAAUAAGCACCGGAUAACGCCGUGCCAGCAGCCGCGGUAAUACGGAGGGUGCAAGCGUUACUCGGAAUCACUGGGCGUAAAGAGCGCGUAGGGGGGAUAGCAAGUCAGAUGUGAAAUCAUAUAGCUUAACCAUAGUACUGCAGUUGAAACUGUUGUUCUAGAGUGAGUGAGAAGUAGGCGGAAUGCGUGGUGUAGCGGUGAAAUGCAUAGAGAUCACGAAGAACUCUGAUUGCGAAGGCAGCAUACCGGCGCUCAACUGACGCUGAUGCACGAAAGCGUGGGUAGCGAACAGGAUUAGAUACCCGAGUAGUC
rnacentral:rRNA from 1 species